GCCUGGGUGGCUCAGUUGGUUGAGCAUCUGACUUCGGUUCAGGUCAUGAUCUCAUGGUCUGUGAGUUCGAGCCCUGCGUCAGGCU
rnacentral:tRNA from 1 species